CGAUGGAAGACUUGGCUUCCUUUUUCUUUGAAAAACGCAAUAAAGUG
rnacentral:rRNA from 1 species